AGAGAAAAACCAUAGAAAACUUCUUGAGAGCAAAUUUGGAAGAUAUAGAAGAACACAAAAGGAAAAGAAAAGCUCUCUGUCGUCACACCACCUGGAGGUGUCUGCCUUAUCUUUAUUGAUCCCUCCCUCCUGCUUUCCUCGGGCUUGUCCUGUCGCUCUUUGGCUGACAUCUUGACCAGAAGGCCUAGUGGCCCCGGGACCUCGAGGCUCCUUCGGUGAGGCGACAGCCUGGAAGAAGACCGUGGAAAUACCUGAGGCAGAAUCGUUCCUGGAAGAGUUUCAGGGUGUCCUGCAAGACAUGGAGGAAAGGAGACGGAGAUCCCAGUGCUGCAGUGUCACGGUGAAGGCUAAGGGGGCCUCUCCGGAUUUUGGAGGCAACAGGUUCCUCCGGCCCAUUUACCAAGUGCCCCCCAAAGCUGUUAGUUUUGAGUGAUGCCCAGAAAAAAGAAGGCUCUGAAAUACCGUAUUUUGCUGUGUAUGAUGUGCACCCACAUCUCCGUGUGCAUUAUACUUGGGAUUAUUAUACCCAUGGUACGCAAUCAUUAUACCCAUGGAGGAUGCGCAUCCUUACUUUUCCAUAAAAAAUUUGGACAUAAAAGCGGGCAUUAUACAUGGCAAAAUAUGGGUUGGUCCAGAGUGCUGUGAGAACUGCUCCGCCCCUGGGCCGUCCGGGCCAGCAGACAGACGGUGCUGGAUGUGUCCCUGGCUGACGGGGUGCUGCUGGGAGCCAUAGGCAGCCCCCUGCAGGUGAAUGGCAGCUCAGAGCCUCAGGAUGUGAGAGCAAAGGCCUGUGUCCUCUGAGAAUAACUGCUCUUCUUCUGAGAAAUAGCUCCUGGCCCGCUACCGGACCUUAGCAGAGACCAGAUACUCAACCACGGGCCACCACGUUGCCGUGGGACCGGGGCUUCCCCGCGUGAGCUGGGUGUCCACGGUCUUGUGAGGAGGUACGCUCCACUCCGUGAGAACUGCUUGAGCUUCCUAACUCCUGCAGACCGGAAUGUGUGUGUGGGACAAGGGUGGCAGGGACACAACGUUGGGUCCGGCUUUUGGGCUCAGCCUGGCACGCACACCCCCGUCUCUCCUGCGUAUCAGGCCUUCCGACUGCAGAUCACGGGACUUCCCAGCCUCCAUAAUUGUGCGAGCGCAGUCCUUAUAACAAGUCAUACGUGU